UACGUCGACAACCCAGUCAUCGGCAACCCAGUCGUCGGAACCAUUCGCAGAUGACGUGCAAGACCACGCUGCACGGAUCGGAAACACAAACUGGUGCCGAUGCGGACUCUGCAUCAACAUGCCAACGUCCACGGAAUCCGUGUGCUGCUUCGAUUACCCGACAACCUGCGAAAUGAUCGAGGAACACGAACUCAAAUGCAUAACGGAACACGAGGAAUUCGCUACCGCGUGUCUAAAUGAGGUUGUGCUCCGUCUGGCGAACCGAGAUCUUCGGCAACGCGGAGUAAAGACGGGGAAAGCCAGGAACGAGCAGUACCGAUACACAUCCUACCGACAGUUUAUUCUGUGGGUGUGGGAGUACUUGGGAAAAUUC